rnacentral:rRNA from 1 species
AGUGAACGCUGGCGGCGUGCUUAACACAUGCAAGUCGAACGAGAACGGAUUAUAGCUUGCUAUAAUUGUCAGCUAAGUGGCGCACGGGUGAGUAAUGUAUAGAUAACCUGCCCUCUAGAAAGGAAUAACAGUUGGAAACGACUGCUAAUGCCCUAUAUGCCUUUAAUACAUAAGUAUGCAAGUGAAACGCUUGAGUGCUAGAGGAUGGGUCUGAAUGGUAUCAGUUAGUUGGUGAGGUAAUAGCUCACCAAGACUAUGACGCCUAACUGGUUUGUGAGGCUGAUCAGGCACUCUGGAACUGAGACGCUGUCCAGACUCCUACGCGAGGCAGCAGUGGGGAAUACUGCACAAUGGACUAUGGUCUGAUGCACCAACGCCUCAUGGAGGAUGACACAUUUCGGUGAGAAAACUCCUUUUAUAUAGGACGAUAAUGACGGUACUAUAUGAAUAAGCACCGGCUCACUCCGUUGCAGCCGCCGCAGUAA